UCGUUCAACUACGGCUGACGGCCCGUGCUCCCAGGCUUGGCGACGGUGAAGGUGCCCGUUGCGGAAGCAAAUCCUCUGCCUUGGUCCCUCUGCCAUUGGAUCACUUACGCAUGGGCUCCUCACACAUCAGUGACCAGGGCCAACGGCAGAGAAGCCCCGCCCGGCCGUUGCAGGGGUUGCUGUGGGGAGACGACGAGCCAUGGAUCCGAUGAGCGCGCGGGGGAGAAAUCAUUUGGCGCCAAAGGUUCGCGCCUUCCUCUCUUCCCUGAAAUCCCUUCCUUCUUGAAAUAGUCCUCCGUGCUCCCCAUCCAACCCUAGGUCUUGGUCUGGCGGCCUCAAUGUCGCGCGAGGGACAGAAGGAGGCGGCGGCGCGAGAUUUGCUGAAGGUGGAUGCGGCUCGGGUGCGCAAGGCAGCGACGGCGCCGAUGCGGAAGGCCCCGGGGCGAGUUCGGGAUGGGGCGGCGCCUCUGCUGGAGCAGAGGACUUCGGGCGGAGCGACGCAUGUGCCGGAGCAGAGGGCUUCAAGCGGGGCGGCGCAUGUGGGUGCAUAUGGCGCCGGCGGCUUCUUCAACGGGGGCGCCGGCGGCUUCUUUGGCAAUAGUGGACGGAGCCCCAUUCAGCCAUGGAUGUCUCAGCCUUCGGAUCCUUCAACAUGGUAAUACUCGAUGUUACUUAAUUUUUGGCUUAUUUGAACUAGUAAUUUUGCUUACUGUAAUCCAUUAGACAGUAAUCUUGUAAGGCAAUGACCUAUGGUUAUGUGUUUUCAGUAACCAAACUGAUCUUUGCCAAUAUGCAACGACCUCUGCCUAUCUUUCGGUAUUCUUUCAGUCAAUCCAUUACACUCUGCACACUUUGCUCUGCUUUCUCACCUCCCACCAUGUGUACUGGCCACACACAAACACAUAUUCAGUACAGUUAAUUUCAGUCUUCCUACCAUGUGUACUGCACACUAUCCUUUUUUUUUCCCGAGUAAAGGACUAUCCUUUUGUUCAAAUUGGUUGUUUAAAUUUGUCGUAGUAGAGUACAAGAGCUCUGCCAGUGGAUUAUUUAACUUGGAGCAUAUUUGGAGACAGAUGUUAUUUAACUAGGAGCUCUGUCCAGUGUAAAUUAGUUGGCAGUGAAAUGUUAUUGUACCUAAUAAUGGAGACAGAUGUAACCAUCAUUGGAUUAUUUAACUAGGAGCAUAUUUGGACUUUGUUUCGUGGAGCAGGUCUAAAUCUCAAACCCAUCAAUCUCCUGUCUGAUUGCUUGCACUUAGGAAGAUCACAGCGAUUUUGUGUUUGUGGAUAAUAUACAUUUGCAGAAUAUAUGCCUUGUAUCUUAAUUUGUUGGCUAGUAUAUUAUUUUUUUGGUUCAGAAAGAUGUUUCAAAUAUACCUCUAUCUGUUUACGCUUGACUCUGCAAUAGGUAUGACUAACUUAAAUAAGCUUGCCUGGCUAGUUGGCCAUAGUACACUACUCAAUUUCAAUUAGGUGAAUAACUUAAAAGAUACACUACUAUUUGGAUGAAGCCUUACCAUUUUAUCAUCUUUGAUUUCUGAAAUCUGUCACUGAAUUGUGCAAUGUCCAGAACUAUGCUUUUGUUGUUCUGUAGAAGUAUCUCAUUUUGCAGCUAAUCCUUCCUGGGAGGUAUUUUUAGAGUAGAAUGUAAGACCUUCUGUAUAUAUCUGAUCUGUUUAGAGUAGCUGUUGCAGGCAUGGUUGCUGUCAUUAUAAGUAGCAUUUUGGUGUCUCAGUUUCAGAUGGUUGCUGUCAUUAUAUAUCAGGUCUGAAAUUUUCCAUUUUAUAAAUUAAGGAGAGGUUUGAUUCAUCAUUUUGACUCUGUAUUGUUCAGACCUGUGUAUUGUACAACUGCUAGCUGGUCAGACCUAGUGCUUCUCUGAUUGAGGUAUGUUAAAGUUUUAUUAAAUGUCACUGCUAGCUGUUUUCUUACAUAUCGCAGUAGGCUAUCUAUAUUCAUGGUCUGAAAUCUGCCAUUGUCUGUCAAGUAUCAUUUAUGUCAAGUUUUCAUUUCAGUUAAUUUCAGUUAGCAUGCCACUGAUACUCUGAAAACAUGCCCACUGUUAAGUUAUGAAAUCUGAAAACAUGCCACAUGCUAAGUUACCAAUGAUCUGUUGCUCAUAUAAAACAUGACCAUGGAUGCUAAGUUGAUGUCAGGAGCAGAUAUGGAUGCUGACUUCUCUGGAAUUUUUACACUAGAAUUGUCAUAUGGAGUCAUUUGGAGUAUGAAUGUCAUCUCUGGUUCCAAUGGAGGCUGAUUUCUCUUUUUCUAGUGUGAAGUGUGAAGUCUGAAACUCAAAUGUGUGUGUGUGAACUGAAUGAAUAUUUUCUAUUUGCUGUCAUUUUGGAGACAUUGACCAUGGAGUCAAGUGUGCUGCAGUCAAGUGUGAAGCGUACAUGUCUUUUCUUAUGGGCCAAGACAAAGUAGAGGCACAUGUCCAAUUAAAUGGUGAAUUUAUUAUGUUAUAUCAUGUAUUCCUAAGAUCGUCUCAUAUGAAUAUAUAUUUAUAUAAUAUUAUAUACAUGCUUAUUUUAAGAGUUAUGCGAUUUAUUUGAAUGUAUUGUGCAUUCUCUCGUGUAUUCAAAAUGGCUGCAAAGAUCAAUUAUGCACUAGAUCACCAUGAGUUUAUGUGUCAAAGGACGAAUUAAUCACUUUGCAAACAACCAAACAGACAUCCCAUUGUACAAGCUGUGUGUUCAGUUGUCUGUUUGUGACAAAAAGAUAGCAGCUGUCUACACUGUUGUACUUUCCCUUAUGGUCCAACAGAGUAUCAGUUGUCAGAGCCCCUUAGUUGUCCCCUUCCCUUCCUACUAACUCUCUCGUUCGUCUACUGUUUCAAAAAAAAAACCUCUCUCCUCCCGAAAGAUGUGAGUGCUGAGUGGCAACCGGGGGAGAUGGAGGACCUCUCCCGCGGUGAAGCAGCACCAGCGGAGGUUACCAGGCUGUUGCUUGAUGCCAUUGGUACUACUUGUGGCUAGCGGCUAGAGAAGGUCAUUGGAACUGAGCAAACAUACAUUGUUCGUGUUCCAUUCAGAAAUGAGAAUGAAUCCGAGAGGCAUGGCAGGCAAGUGGGCAGCCUGUGGCAAAUCUUCGAUGGUUAGGCAAGGAAGUGACAUGGUGGCAGUGGGGAAGCAAGCCUAGAAGGCUACUAGAGAAGGGGACCACCGACGAGCACGAGCGCCUCCUCCACGCCAUGUCACUGUGAGCGUCCUCAAUACUCCCUAGAGUCUCGGUCACUAGUUGUUCAUCUCUAUUUCUUUAUUGAGUUCCUUGAAAUUUUUUAAAAAAAUGCUAACUUGCCCCAACGCCCUAAUAUUAGUGAAACUUUAUUUUUGUGUUUUGUGAAUUAGCAGUAAGAAUCUUAUAUAUAGCAAGAUUUUUGAGGUGGUUCAUUGCGUAGAGCCAGAAAUGAGUAUUCCUCUUUUGUUGUGUGCUAGCAGCAUGUCCGAUAAAUGCGCAGCUAGACCAGAAAUGAGAGAGCUCUCCAUUUUGCUCACAGGUUGUUAAUCCUUCUCUAUACGUAAAUAGAUACAGAUGCCAAGUUUGUUCUCGCGACCUUGAUAACUGCCAGCAGGAUCUCCACUUUAAGCGGAGCCCAUUCAUUUGUAUCAUAUAAUUUUUUUAUUUCCAAUUUAGUUAGAUCUGGGCUCAGCUUUUUUUUUUAAUAUUUGCAUAACUGAUCAGAAUUUUUGAGAGGCAUAUGAGGUACCUGGGUUUCUGAUUAUGUUCCAUUUGUAGUGAAGUUAGGCUACUGCAAUUGUGUGUCAAUUAAUUUUUGCAUAAGAGUUCCAACUCAUUUUGAUAUCUUUUCUUAUACCUUUCUUUCUCUGUAAAGUGCCUUGUGCAUAGUGUAAGAUGCGUUUAUGACAAUAUAGACUGAUUGGUCCCUGAAUAUUUCUUUUAUAUUAUAAUGUCAAUACUUGAAAGACUCAUUUAAUUUAUUUGUGAAGUGAAUUCCAUAUCAAGGAGAAAGAUAGGUUGUAGGACAGCAAACUAACAUGAGAUUUUUCGUGUUAUACUUCGAUCCGAUGCCUAUUGAAUUUUUUUCUUUGAGAGGAUCAUCUGUCCAAGUCUGCCUCUCUUUUCUUCCAGAUUUAACCUACCAUUUCAUAAUCUUUUCUGAUCUAUCUGUUUGUGCCUCUCUAGUGUAGACUUGCUACUUGUAGAUUGUAGUUUGCAUCACUACAAAUGUGUGUUCCAAUUAUAGCUCUCAUGUGUCUGGUUGUAAACACAUGAUGUUAAACAUCAGGUCACCAUGUAUUUGACCUACUUUUCUGGGAUUUUUAACACAUGAAUUUUAUUAAGUGGUGUUACCCAGUAAUCACACCAAGCAUCACUGAAGUAUAAGUUGUACAAUUUUUUUAGCCAGAAUAGUGUAAUUUUUAUUCAAUUAACAUAGCUUUAUAAUAAUUAUACUUCCAUCGAUAUUUUCCAUUUUAAUAUGAGUACUUUCUUCACCCCCACUUGUAUGACCAUCCUUUUUUCAUGUAGACAUUAGUCAUUUCUUUUCAGACAUUGGGCUGCAUGCUGAUAUAUGCUAAAUGUUAAGAUCAUGUUGAUAUCAUUGCCUUCAUUAGGCAUAAUGAUUUUUUUUGGCGAGGGAGUUGCCUCUCCUUGAACCACAAAAUUGUUCAAAGCCCACCGAUUUGUUUGAACUUAUUGUGUUUAUGUUUUUUAAGAUAGAUAUGGACAUGUGUUGUUAUAUGACUAUAUAUGCAUGUCUAGGCUUAACUGAUAUGUAUCUACCAUUUUAAGCUAUUUUAAGUAGUUAAAAAUGUUAGAUUUAAGUACAUGCUACUAUGCAUUUCUAUUGCCACUUCUAUGUGGUUUUUCUUUUAUAUGAAAUAACAUAUAGGAUUUCAUAUGUCUGUUUUCAGAUGCCACAUUAUGCCAACUCUGAAUAUUUUUUUAAAACCCUGGACACGCUGUAAAUUGAUUUAGUUCUGCAUUUCCAUUUUCUCCAUGUGUUUGAUUGAUUAACUUGAACUUUUGUUUCUGUCAGAGAAACAAUAGUCUGGUACUUGAAUUUGUAUGGCAAACGAGUGGCCCUUGAUAAAGCUAUUUACUAUAUGAAGCUCAUGUUUAUCCAGCUCGGAAUAUCUUUAAACUACUAAUGUCAGUUUCAGUUAAUAAAGCUGUUAGAACAAUAUUUUUUUUACUUCUCUAGUUCCUGGUAUAUCUAAUCUAAUAGUCUAAACCAGUAACUGAGCUGGCUCUAAAUAUUAGCACUGAAUUUUUAUGUAUCAGUUUUCCACCCUACGUUACCAGAAAGAGUAGCUUUCUAAUAGUCAGUACUCGUGUUGUCAAGCAGUGGAUCUCAUGAUGGCACUUAAAAGGCUUCAUGUACAUGGAUCUCAUUUUUACAGGCAGUAUGAUCUCUUAUUCUUUGGCAAUAGCAUAUGUUGUUCAGCAGCCUUCAAUAGUAUAAACACGAUCAUGUGCUCUCCUAGUAUAGCUUUCUUCUUAUGCUGUUUAGUGUUACAUCUAUCAAAUUACAGGGUUGUUGAUUGAUGGUUGUGUCUUGCGUGGCCCAUUUAGAAAAUAAUAUUAUGUAAUUUUCUUGACCUUUGGUGUUAUCAAUUUAUUGUUAAAUCAUUUUCCAUGGUUCACUUAGCUGUUUUGAUUAGGUAUGUUAUACCUGUCAUCCAUGGGCUACUUUCAGGAAUUGCUUUUCCCCCCACUUUGUUCAGGCUAGAAUGACCACUUCGUUUCAUAUAGGUAGCCAAUUUAGUGGCUGUGAUUUCAUUUCAUUUAUCGUUCUGUCUUUGCAUUGUGCAUUCCUCAUGAAUGCCUAUUUUUUUACUUUUAUAUUCUAACUUUCCUCAAUUUACUAAUUUCACAUGAUCCUAAUGCCUUUUACAUUUGUUACAACUGUUCUGGCAACAUAUAUUAUUAUCACCUUGGGUUGUUAAGUUCUAUCUUACAAGGUACAUACUCAAUCCUGUCUUGUUAUCAGCCUAGUGAGCUGUGUUUUUGAGCACUCUCUUGUUAUCAAUCCUCUCUAUCUUGUUACAAGGUACAUUUAUAGGCUCACUCUCUUGUUAUUAAUCCUCUUUAUUUUACAAGGUACAUCUAUUUUUGAGCUGUGUUUUUUUCUUGUUGUCAGCCAAAAAUUUGCACUAUAAAUGUUUGUUCUUUCAGAUAUUUUUUUUAAUCUUGUUAUCAGCCGAAAAGUUGCACUGUAAAUGUGUGUUUUUUUCUUGUCAUCAGCCCAGAAAUUUGUACCUAUAAAUGUGUGUUAUUUCAUGCUUUUUUAUCUAGUUAUCAGCCGAAAAGUUGCACUAUAAAUGUAUGUUUUUUCUGAUGUGUUUUUUCUUGUUAUUGGCCCAGAAAUUGUACCUAUAAAUGUGUAUCUUUUUUUCUUCAGAUCUGUGGCUUUUUUCUUGUUAUAUCAGCUUAGAAAUUGUAGAUGUAAUUAUGUAAAUAUCUGGGAUAAAUGUAACUUUUUAAAUAAAAGGGUAAAUGUAACUUUAUUAUCAGCCAAAAAUUGUACAAGUAUUUUUUUUGUUUUUUUUUGUCUGGGAUUGCCUGGGACAAGAACCAUAACUUGUUUUACAAACAGAUCACAUAUGACUAAUCAGCCCAUCUCAUUAUUUUGGUGUACUUGCGCUAGCUAACUGAUAAGCAUGUUUCUCAAUCACAGGACUAUGAUUUCAGGCUAUGGUCAAGCUAGCAGAUCUUCUCGUUAUGAAACUUUUUUUUGUCCUUGUGCUGUAUAUGUUAAGAGUCUGUAGCAUGGUUUUACUUUCACUUGUGUUCCUGUACCAUGUAUAGCUACGAGCACUUAAUUGCCACUUGUUUCAGGUUUGUUCCUGGUAUUGCAGCUACAGAUCAUUAUUUGUGGUAACAAA